UACGAAGGGUCCAAGCGUUGUUCGGAAUCAUUGGGCGUAAAGCGCGCGCAGGCGGAUCAGCAAGUCGGGGGUGAAAGCCCGAGGCUCAACCUCGGAACUGCCUUCGAUACUGCGGGUCUCGAGUCCGGGAGAGGUGAGUGGAAUUCCUAGUGUAGAGGUGAAAUUCGUAGAUAUUAGGAAGAACACCAGUGGCGAAGGCGGCUCACUGGCCCGGUACUGGACGCUGAGGCGCGAAAGCGUGGGGAGCAAACAGG
rnacentral:rRNA from 1 species